rnacentral:lncRNA from 1 species
ACCUUCCGAAAUGAGGAUUCACUUAAGCUGCCUCCCUGGUUCCUCUACUCCGUGCAGGCCAUGUCCUACCCCAGCUUUCAAGCCGUCAUACCUGUACCUCAGAGAGAAAAAAGAGGUCCCGGUCUGCCAUCUACAUAGAGUCAUUUUGCCUGAUGUUUAUAGCUGGUCUCUGGAGGGAAUGUGGUCUCCAGCGAUUCUCCGAGGAAACCGCUGGAAACAAUAUUUGAACAGAAAUGGUAACGAGAGCUUCAAACAGAUCAGAGUGGUUUCAGACGUCUGAGAAAUGUGGGUCAGUCUCCAAAGUGGACCUAAGGGCCCACGUAGCUGUGUGGUGAUGGGCCUGUACUGGCCGCUGAGGAAUGUCUAUCCCCUUGCUAUCUGUCCCCGUGUAAUUAUUGUAUUUGUUCAUGUGGAUCCUGCUCUAUGUUCCUAGGUCCUAUCUCAUCUUCCCUGUCAGAUGUUUAACUCUUUGUGGGUAGAUCCUUCCAUGUCUCUUGUUGUCACUGGAAUACCACCCGACAUGCUCAGCACGGUGGCCGGCUCUGUGGGCGGUCAACAGUGUCAGUGAGCUAUGAAAAAAACAGGCCAAGUGGCAUUUGGGGAAGUGGUUUCCCAAACAUUGCCUGCCUCCUCUCCAGCCCCUCGUCCUGUUCACCUGUUAUUCCAGUGACCAGACUCCAGUCAGAACCAGCCUCUCAGCUUUGGAAGCAUUAGAAUCUAUAGUGUUCUCCUGACAAGAACAUAGCCCUUAAUCUCUAGGAACAAAAAAGGGAUUGUGUUCUCCCUCCCCAGGUCUGGGCAGGCUGCCUACGGUACAGUUGGGGUUCUGAGCACUGCUCAGUCUCCACCUCAUCUAGUCCCCUCCCUACCGCAGUGCUACCACAGGGUCACCGAGACUGCUGUGGGCAAGUGUCCAUCCAUCCCUGACAACCAGUGAUACAGGCACCUGACUGGAUGCCUCACAUCCUGCCUGAAACCACUACCCUUCCCCUCCCCCACAUCUUUCUAAAAAAAAUUUCCUCUGUCUAAUGUGUAGUCUUUC